CGCACAGCUCGUGCUGAAGCGGCAGGAUCAUGACACUUUCUUCUAUGAAAAAUUGGAGUACACAUACAAAAUGUGUAAAAACGUAUAUCAACGAUGUGAAGACUGCUUAACCCAAUUAGUGAGGGACCGCACAACUUGAGUACUCCCGUGACCCUCGUGAGGAUAAGUGGCACAGAAAAUGCAUCUAUCAAACAAGACUGCUAUAUGAAGACUAAGAAGCAUCACCGCCAUAAGGACAGAGCAGAACCAGACCACCGCCGUUGAAGGAAAAAAGGCUUUGAGCAGGUGAAAGGACCACCUGUGCGUCCAUCAGAUGAGUAUGGAUACUAUAUUCCCCAAAGGACCAACAUAUGUGUCAUCAUCAACCCUGAAAACAUAUAGUUGUUGCACCACCUAAUUCAUUACUUUGAGGUCCAUGACUGAGCAGAUUUUCCAGUCAGCAUUUUGCCUUGCUUA